AAAUGGCGGAAUUGGCAGCUAUCAGUAUCAGCAAGUUGAAGCAAAAUGUCAGCAAGAUAUGAUUAAACUGCAGUCCAAAGACUUCUCUAGCAGCGAGGAAGAAGGCUGGAAAAGGAGUGAGGGGACUAAACUAACUGAGUGACCUAAUAAAGGGGACUAAGGACCACUUGAGUCCUUUGGUUAUGCAGUGUCUGGCAAGGAAAGUUAUGUACUGUACAGUCUUUUUCAAAUUAUGAUUUGUUCAGUGACUGCUUCUAACUAUCUUUAUAAGCAAGAUAAUUGCUGCAGAGUCCUAAAGUGAUGGAGAAAAUUCAUCAUUUAAGCAGACAUGUACAAUUGGCUAACUCAUACAUGUAGAUCAUACUAUGCCUGCUUGCUUAGCAUGUGCUCUCCCCCGUACAUUCUUAUUAGAUACAAUUAGAACAGAAAAAUUUAAUAAUUUAUUAGAUACAAUAAACACUGUUGUUGUUAUUUGUUUGAUAAUUUGAUUGCAAGAGAUACCCAGCUGUGUUUGUGCAACUUACAGGGGAAUUCCUAGGGAAUAUCCCCAAUUAGAUCUAUAUACUGAUAUUACUCUUGCUCUAACUGCAUAAUACGGUAUUAUAGUUGUCAAGCUGUGAGGAAACAAAAAAGCGUGCCAUAGACUUGGUGAAUUGUGAUGGCAGGAGAUCUAAACUUUGUGAUAAUUAAAGGUUUGAUUGAUCAAGUUG